rnacentral:rRNA from 1 species
GACGAACGCUGGCGGCGUGCCUAAUACAUGCAAGUCGAGCGCAGGAAACCGUCUGAACCCUUCGGGGGGACGACGGCGGAAUGAGCGGCGGACAGGUGAGUAACACGUAAAGAACCUGCCCGUAGGUCUGGGAUAACCACGAGAAAUCGGGGCUAAUACCGGAUGUGUCAUCGGACCGCAUGGUCCGCUGACGAAAGGCGCUUCGGCGUCGCCCAGGGAUGGCUUUGCGGUGCAUUAGCUAGUUGGUGGGGUAAUGGCCCACCAAGGCGACGAUGCAUAGCCGACCUGAGAGGGUGAUCGGCCACACUGGGACUGAGACACGGCCCAGACUCCUACGGGAGGCAGCAGUAGGGAAUCUUCCACAAUGGACGAAAGUCUGAUGGAGCAACGCCGCGUGAACGAUGAAGGCUUUCGGGUCGUAAAGUUCUGUUGUAAGGGAAGAACAAGUGCCGCAGGCAAUGGCGGCACCUUGACGGUACCUUGCGAGAAAGCCACGGCUAACUACGUGCCAGCCGCCGCCGUAAAAC